UGCACAACACUCAAGGGCCCAGAUGUGUGACAAACACGCCAGGUCACCAGCAUCAGCUGGAGGGGAGGGUGACCCUAGGAGUCCUUUGUGCCCUGCCGGCCUCCCCGACACUCGAGGGCAACAGCUGUCCUUCUUUCAACUCCACACUCCAGAUCUGCCCACUCUGGAUGACCACAGCGUGUUCCGGGUCGGGCUUCCACUCACGCUGGGUGAAGAAGUGUCCCAAUGGCCAGUGCCUUACCUGUUCUCAGCAGCCUAGAACAUUCCGUCAUCUGAGAUGCCGCCAUUUGGAUGUCCCUCCAGACCCAGUUGGUGGACUUUUGGAUAGUUUUCUGAUCUGGGCAUGUCACAAAUAAGCUGCUAAAAGCACUCUCACGUGAUCCCCCCCAAACUUCAUCCCAGCCUCUCAUCCCGUUGGACGUCCAGUGGCUCAUCGUGGCCUUGUAGUGGGUAAAGGACCCAGACGGUCUCCAGCACACUAUCAGCACACAGCAGGUGCUCAAUGCCCCCUGGGAAGUGAAAGAGCACCAGUCCCUCUCUCCCCGGGCAGCUCGAGUCGGGGCUCUCCAGGGACAGUGCCCACAGAGGGUUAAAACCUCGGGGCCCGGAACUUGGAUUUGCAUACAUUUGCCUGAGGACUCCAACAACUGCCAGGCAAAUGUUAGGAAAAUGGGGUCCUUGGGCUCUGGGAGAGGGGGACCUCUGUCCUCCCCACAGGCUGCCUGUCUGCGGUCUCCCACCUGCACUCAGUGUCUAUUUAUAGGGAGCCGCGGGCUGCCCCCACUCUCCCCAGACAGUCUCCAGUGGGAACAUUCCUGGGGCUUCUCAGAUGCCUCGGCUACCUCUCCCGGCUCAGGGAUG
rnacentral:lncRNA from 1 species